rnacentral:rRNA from 1 species
UACGGAGGGUGCGAGCGUUGCUCGGAAUCACUGGGCGUAAAGCGUACGCAGGUGGCAGAUUAAGUCGGGUGUGAAAUCCCGGAGCUCAACUCCGGAACUGCGCCCGAUACUGGUCUGCUUGAGUACGGGAGAGGGAAGCGGAAUUCCUGGUGUAGAGGUGAAAUUCGUAGAUAUCAGGAGGAACACCAGUGGCGAAAGCGGCUUCCUGGCCCGAUACUGACACUCAUGUACGAAAGCGUGGGUAGCAAACAGG